rnacentral:tRNA from 1 species
GUCUCUGUGGCUCAGUUGGAAGAGCGUUGGUCUCAUAGGAUGUCCCUAUGACUAUGUCUCUAGACAUUGAUAUCCAAAGGUCGCAAGUUCGAGCCUUGCCAGGGACA